UCGUUGGCUAAGUCCGUUCGGCG
rnacentral:snRNA from 1 species